CCACACUCAACAAAUACUACUUACUAUAAAUUAACUAAAUAAAUUAAUGUUAUCCAAUCUUAAUUAUAUUGUUUAACUACCUAAGUUACACCAAAGUACUUACCUGCUACUGUUAGGAACAACAUCUAUCCACCUGUCGUACGAAUAUUACAUUAUCAUAGGUAUGUUAUAUUCAUUGAGUUGCAAUCUUGAGUAGGUAUUGUUUUAUUAAAUACUCACUCUGAAUAUUAGGGUCUUACGUCUUGACUAUUGACUAAAAGACAGUAUGAAAGGAUAAUAUGAAAGAGAUGUAUGGAAAUGUGAAUGUAGGGGAAUGUAUGUAUGAGGAAGUAUGUAACUAGGCAAAGAAAGCACUCUCGAAGGGUGGAGUUAGUCGGAUUUUUUCCAUGGAGGACAAAAAUCCUACGUUUUCUGGCGGGGUACUGUAACGCUAUAACUAUAAAAUAAGGCAGUGGUUUGCACUGAGCCUAUGGGUCCGCGCGCUAGAUACCUAUUUGUAAUAACUGAACGCACUCGCGCACAGUAAAUACGAUUUCGCACGAAUGUUUUACUUCGGCUGCACUCGGGAGGAGCGACGCUAACCGACCGGCACAUAAAGUGCGAGGCAUUCUUAUACCUGCGUCAGGUGCCGAACGUUGUGACCAAAGAUUACAUGGUUGUGACGUUACGUUAGUGCCAAGUACAUAAUUAACUUUGGUUGGUGUUGGCCUCCUGGGCUCGAAACCUAGGGAAACCCGCUGGGGUUCUCGCCUUCUCGCCUUCUACGCCUUCUACGCCUUCUGCGCCGUCUUCGCCUUCAUCGCCUUCUUCAUCUUUCAUCCAUCUGGUCUUCCUUCACCAGCGCACGCCGAGGCCUAAUAUUACGGACCCUGGAGCGGGAACCAGACUACUUCAGUACUUUCGUUCAGGCCAGUGACAACUUGUUAUAAGUUACCUGACGGUGUAAGGCGAGUUUGAAAAAAAAAGUAAAGUCUGAACCUUGAUUUAUAA
rnacentral:lncRNA from 1 species